rnacentral:lncRNA from 1 species
UUAAGGUUGUGCUUGGAAACGUUCCAACUCGUCAUUUUUAUUCUCGCUACGCAACAAAGACAACCUUUCUCCAUUUAUUGCCAACAUCAAGCAAGGUCAGAAGCAGUAUGCAAUCUGCUGUCUCUCUAGUUAUGGACCAACCUUUGGUGGAGGUCAUGGUCUGUAUAUUUGUAACAAUCCUCAAUUUAAUCAGCAUUCAUACAGCAAUUUUGGAAACACAUAUCAACUUCCUCCUGGUUAUGUCUAUGGUAGUGAACAAGCAAAGAACCUUCUUGCUGGUCAGUAUCAAUUCUUAACGACAGAAAUUGAAGUCUUCAACUGAAAAUUGCCUUUGUUUACUUACUUCAACGAAAAAUAACAUUACAUUGAUUACGAUCGGUCUUAGCAAUCACUUUCGGACAGUGAUUUUGCAAUACUAUAAAGUAUUAAGAAUUAAUAUGAAUAUUCUGAGUCAUGUACUGUAGGA